rnacentral:tRNA from 1 species
UGGGCUGUAGCCAAGUGGUAAGGCACCAGACUUUGACUCUGGCAUUUCGGCGGUUCGAAUCCUCCCAGCCCAGCCA